UACCAGCACCCCGAGUGGUCGGGACGAUUAUUGGGCCUAAAGCAUCCGUAGCUUGUUCUGCAAGUCCUCCGUUAAAUCCACCUGCUCAACAGAUGGGCUGCGGGGGGAUACUACAGGGCUAGGAGGCGGGAGAGGCAAACGGUACUCAGUGGGUAGGGGUAAAAUCCUCUGAUCCACUGAAGACCACCAGUGGCGAAGGCGUUUGCCAGAACGCGCUCGACGGUGAGGGAUGAAAGCUGGGGGGAGCAAACCGG
rnacentral:rRNA from 1 species